GCCUAUUAGGCUCAACGCCCGGUUCCGCUGCGAAUAUCGAUCUUUCUCUCCACAUCUCACCGGCGGCGAUCUGUCAUAAAAUGAGAUCUGUGUUGUCUCUACUUUAUUUGGUAUGAAGUUUAAAUCUUCGAGAGGGAUAGUUUCUGUUGUGGAGAAAGAAGACUAGCUGUAGGCUUCGAGCCAUUGCGCACAGAAAUAUAGUGUAGCAAUCAUAUGAUUUGAGGUUAGUUUAUUGUGAAGAUAUGUGGAUGUUAUUUUUUCUCCUCUUCACUUUGCCAUGGAAUUUAGACCAUUGAUUUGUGUUGAGAAAAUAAAAGAAUCUUUGAUGUCAAAACAUGUUAUGAUCUAUUUUAAUUUAUGCCUUUGGAUUCGAAAUGUUUUCAUGUCUACAAUGGUUUGAUUUUAUAUUAUAAGGUUAUAUAGUUCAAUUCUCUCUCAUGAGUUGUAUUUCAAGAAAAAUAAUAGUUUCACAUAUGUUUCCAUUUGCUUGUCCAAUGGUAAACUUUUGUCAUCAUCAAAUAAUUCUCAAGUCGUUUUUUGGAUUUGUUCUGUAAUUUAGAUUGCAUUUGGAUGUUUGGUUUGGGACAUUUUGAUACAUGGAUUUGCAGUUAAAUUUUUAUUUUUGGUGGUUAA